rnacentral:rRNA from 1 species
UACGGAGGGUGCAAGCGUUAAUCGGAAUUACUGGGCGUAAAGCGCGCGUAGGCGGUUUGAUAAGUCGAUUGUGAAAUCCCCGGGCUCAACCUGGGAAUUGCAGUCGAGACUGUCAGACUAGAGUGUGGGAGAGGGUGGUGGAAUUCCCGGUGUAGCGGUGAAAUGCGUAGAUAUCGGGAGGAACAUCAGUGGCGAAGGCGACCGCCUGGCCCAACACUGACGCUGAGGUGCGAAAGCUAGGGGAGCAAACGGG